rnacentral:rRNA from 2 species
CACCGCGGUUAUACGAGAGGCCCAAGUUGAUAAACCCCGGCGUAAAGAGUGGUUAAGAUAGAUUAAACACUAAGGCCGAACGCCCCCUAGGCUGUUAUACGCAUCCGGGGGUAAGAAGUUCAACCACGAAAGUGGCCUUAUACUCCCUGAACCCACGAAAGCUAGGAUA